rnacentral:misc_RNA from 1 species
GAUGAAGACGCAGCGAAAUGCGAUACGUAAUGUGAAUUGCAGAAUUCAGUGAAUCAUCGAAUCUUUGAACGCAUAUUGCGCUCUCUGGUAUUCCGGAGAGCAUGCUUGUUUGAGUAUCAGUAAACACCUCAACUUCCAUAUCUUUUUUGAAAUGGGAGUUGGACUUGAGUGAUCCCAACGCUUUUCCUCACCGAAAAGUGGCGGGUUACUUGAAAUGCAGGUGCAGCUGGACUUUUCUCUGAGCUAUAAGCAUAUCUAUUUAGUCUGCCUAAAAAACAGAUUAUUACCUUUGCUGCAGCUAACAUAAAGGAGAUUAGUUCUUGUGCUGACUGAUGCAGGAUUCACAAAGACAGCUUCGGCCGACUUUGUAAACUCGAUCUCAAAUCAAGUAAGACUACCCGCUGAACUUAAGCAUAUCAAUAAGCGGAGGA